UACGUAGGUGGCAAGCGUUGUCCGGAAUUAUUGGGCGUAAAGCGCGCGCAGGUGGUUCUUUAAGUCUGAUGUGAAAGCCCACGGCUCAACCGUGGAGGGUCAUUGGAAACUGGGGAACUUGAGUGCAGAAGAGGAAAGUGGAAUUCCAAGUGUAGCGGUGAAAUGCGUAGAGAUUUGGAGGAACACCAGUGGCGAAGGCGACUUUCUGGUCUGUAACUGACACUGAGGCGCGAAAGCGUUGGGGAGCAAACAGG
rnacentral:rRNA from 1 species